UACGGGGGGGGCAAGCGUUUGUUCGGAAUUACUGGGCGUAAAGGGCUCGUAGGUGGCCAACUAAGUCAGACGUGAAAUCCCCAGGCUCAACUUGGGAACUGCGUCUGAUACUGGAUGGCUUGAAUUCGGGAGAGGGAUGCAGAAUUCCAGGUGUAGCGGUGAAAUGCGUAGAUAUCUGGAGGAAUACCGGUGGCGAAGGCGGCAUCCUGGACCGAGAUUGACACUGAUGAGCGAAAGCUAGGGGAGCAAACGGG
rnacentral:rRNA from 1 species